CCCCGUCAGGUGAGACCGUGAGAUGAGACCCUGCGAUGCUUGUGUUCGCGCAGUUGAAAGAGAGACUAGUGUAGGAGCACGCCGACACACAGGAGCUCUCUCUGUCUCUCUCUCGGCUCAAACAGAUUUUCAAUGGAGACCAGAUGUGCAGGGAACAAACAAUGCUGUGAUGCUUGCACUGAAGGGGCAGUGUACGGCCUCAUGUACGAAUAUGUCGAGUAUGAAGUUCUCAUUGCCAUGGCUUCUCUCGGUUGUUAAAGCACGUUACGAGCAAAAUUAAGUGGCGUACAAAAUCAUCAAAAUCUCUGUAUCUUUUACCAUAAGCUAUCAUAGAGGAAAGCAACAUAAUGCGUUGGAAAAUAGCCUCGAAUAACAACACUAGCUGAGGCUGUAAAGAAAACUGACAAUAUCAGCACACCACUCGUCGGCCGCUAUCCAAGCUUGGAUGUUCACGAUGACUUACACGUUGUAGCGUCCCCCUCUGCUUGGUUUCUCCCUUUUCGCGUCAUCCUGCAUUGAAGUAGGAUCCAAAUAGAAUGAGCGGUGGGCAUACUGUGAUCUCUUUUACAGGUGACUAACAAAGAAUAUAUCAAUUGAGAUAACAAAAACAGUCUAAAUGCAUACAUGGAAGCUGUAGACCAUCUUAUCAUUGUAGUCAAUAAUCUCCUUCCAUUUCUUGCCAAUGUUCACCUGCAUAGAAAAUGUCAUGUUAGUUUUCUCUAGUAUUAUUGAUCACCGAUUGAAGAUAUAUUACAGAGGUGGCACUCAAAUAUCAUCAUGCACCGAGAAAAAAACAUAUAGGGAUUUCCUUUCAAAGCAAAGGCAAGUGGUAAGAAUGAAAAUUUGAUAAAGCAUAAUAAAAAGUGAUUGCUUUA